UUCAUCUUCUUGCUUUAGUGGGCAGUAGAGUGAGCCACCACUGUUUUUUAAGAUCUGAAAAACUUACAACUACUAAACCCAAAAACAACUACAGAUCUCAUAGAUGAACAGCCCAGCAACAAAAUCAUGGAAGAUAUUUUAACACCACCACCAACAACAAAAAUCUCAAUCACACUAUGAUUUUUCCUCUCAUAAACGGAAUGUGUCUCCUCCCUCUUUCGUCCUGUUAUCACCCACAGCAAAUCAGAUGGUGGUUCAAGCACACGUGGGAAGAGGAUAUAUGGUUCUAAAUUCACUAAGAAAUGGAUAUACACUUGGGAAGAUGAUAUAUGAUUCAAUGUAUAUUAAUUUCUUCUGUUGAAAUAUGAGAAGUUGAAGUAAAAAUGGGGGCAACAAGUAGAUUUUUAUUACAUUUUGAAAAUAAGGUUUUUUGUUUUGUGGGUUGUGGGUUGUGUUGUUAAUGGUAUGAUCUCCCUCCCAAGCUGUUUUGGUCAGCCCCAUGGUCUCAUUUCAAUUGUGAAAACCUUACUGUGUUUUGGGUAUGUUUAUUUUAUUUCGUCUUCCAUGACAAAUCAAACUGAGAAAUUGUUCC